UACAAUGUUGAUGUUAAUGUUUUGUUUUUUGUAUUCUAUAGAACAAGUUAGUGACCCUACCACACCUAUGGACAGGCUACUCACACACAUUGAAAAAAAAAAGAUGACAUUAGAAGAUAAAGCCCUUUAUAACACCAAGAAGAAGAUGAUAAUGAUGGAGGUGUCUAAAUAAUGGCCAGAAGACCAAGAAACCCCAUCAUUUGGGAAAACUACCUCCGAAUCUUCAAAUCUGUUGAAAUUUAUUGAACGUCUGGGAAAUGACGAGCAAUUCACUUUUAAGAAGUAUGGCCUUGGCCAAAAAGCUAUUAAAGAAAUGGUCCUUACACAUAUGAGAGAACGAAGAAGGGCGCAGAAAGUUGCAAAGAUUUGUGAAAGUGAAAGUGAAAGUGCAGACACAGCAGGUACAAUUAGUGCAAGUGAAUCAAGCAGUAGUAAUGGAUCACCUCCCCCCAGUAUCUACGACAAAAAGAGGAAAGAAUAUGUGGCGUAUUUUAACCCAAAACUGACACAGGCAUCGUGCGACUGCAUUAUUUUAGUUGCCUUGGACAAGCCAUCUGUGAUGCAUGUCCAAAGAUCCAAGGAACUAGAAAAGCUCAAAAAAUUGUUUGGGCUGAGCCUCCUAAGAGGCAAAGGUAAAAAACACUUAUAUAAGGGCAACAGCGAAUGCUCUCCUGGAA